GAUGAACGCUGGCGGCGUGCCUAAUACAUGCAAGUCGAGAGAAUCGGGGAAGGGUGAGUAAAACGUGGCUAACCUCCUAUAAUACUGGGAUAACUUCGGGAAACCGGCGCUAAACCGUAUACUUCUAGCUGGCUCCGAGCUGCAUUAGCUAGUGGGUAAGGUAAUGGCUUACCAAGGCAACGAUGCAUAGCCGACCUGAGAGGGUGAUCGUGCACGCUUGAACUGAGACACGGUCCAGACUCCUAUGUGAGGAAGCAGUAGGGAAUCUUCCGCAACGGGCGAAAGCCUGCCGGCGCAAAGCCGCGUGAGUGAUGAAGGUCUUCGGAUCGUAAAACUCUGUUAUUAGGGAAGCGGUACCUAAUCAGAAAGCCACUGCUAACUACGUGCCAGCAGCCGCGGUAAUAC
rnacentral:rRNA from 1 species